GGGUUGAGAGGCAAGUUGACCCCAAGACCAAAAGAGAGAUUUAUUGAUGCUGUACCGGGAUCACAAGGUUAGAAACGCUGAAACCAUUCGGCGCUCAGACAAUGAAGAGGAAGAACAACAUGAAGAAGAAACAGCGAUCACGUCAAGACGGACAGAAAGUCAAACUAACAAACACGAGAGAAUCCAGUCCUGACCCUACCCUUCAAAAUGAAACACCGCGACUGACAGCUUCGGAUUGGCGGCCCCUCGGAAACUCGGAAUGACGGGCCUUUGGAAAUGUUCGGGAUAGCGGAACGUCAGAAUAGCGAUCCUUCAGAAUGGGAGUCGCCCCCUGCCUGGGUUGAUCCCUCGCCUAAAAAAAGACCAGAUGCAGUUUUAAUAUAUUUCACCACCAGCCCAGUGACACAGCAUCAGGUGCUCCU